UAGGGAAUCUUCCGCAAUGGGCGAAAGCCUGACGGAGCAACGCCGCGUAAGUGAAGAAGGUCUUCGGAUCGUAAAACUCUGUUAUUAGGGAAGAACAAAUGUGUAAGUAACUAUGCACGUCUUGACGGUACCUAAUCAGAAAGCCACGGCUAACUACGUGCCAGCAGCCGCGGUAAUACGUAGGUGGCAAGCGUUAUCCGGAAUUAUUGGGCGUAAAGCGCGCGUAGGCGGUUUUUUAAGUCUGAUGUGAAAGCCCACGGCUCAACCGUGGAGGGUCAUUGGAAACUGGAAAAACUUGAGUGCAGAAGAGGAAAGUGGAAUUCCAUGUGUAGCGGUGAAAUGCGCAGAGAUAUGGAGGAACACCAGUGGCGAAGGCGACUUUCUGGUCUGUAACUGACGCUGAUGNGCGAAAGCGUGGGGAUCAAACAGGAUUAGAUACCCUGGUAGUCCACGCCGUAAACGAUGAGUGCUAAGUGUUAGGGGGUUUCCGCCCCUUAGUGCUGCAGCUAAACGCAUUAAGCACUCCGCCUGGGGGAGUACGACCGC
rnacentral:rRNA from 1 species